CAGUAGCCGCGGUAAUGCGAGGGGGGCUAGCGUUGUUCGGAUUUACUGGGCGUAAAGGGCGCGUAGGCGGACUGAUAAGUCAGGGGUGAAAUCCCAAGGCUCAACCUUGGAACUGCCUUUGAUACUGUUUGUCUUGAGUUUGAGAGAGGUAAGUGGAACUGCGAGUGUAGAGGUGAAAUUCGUAGAUAUCCGCAAGAACACCAGUGGCGAAGGCGGCUUACUGGCUCGAAACUGACGCUGAGGAGCGAAAGCGUGGGGAGCGAACAGGAUUAGAUACCCGAGUAGUCCCUGUCUCUUAUAA
rnacentral:rRNA from 1 species